rnacentral:rRNA from 1 species
UUAUGCCUACGGGGGGCAGCAGUGGGGGAUAUUGCACAGUGGGGGAAACCCUGAUGCAGCGACGCCGCGUGGGUGAAGAAGCGCCUCGGCGCGUAAAGCCCUGUCAGCAGGGAAGAAAAUGACGGUACCUGAAGAAGAAGCCCCGGCUAACUACGUGCCAGCAGCCGCGGUAAUACGUAGGGGGCAAGCGUUAUCCGGAUUUACUGGGUGUAAAGGGCGUGCAGCCGGGAAGACAAGUCAGAUGUGAAAUCCCGCGGCUCAACCGCGGAACUGCAUUUGAAACUGUUUUUCUUGAGUACCGGAGA